AUUGAACGCUGGCGGCAUGCUUUACACAUGCAAGUCGAACGGCAGCGCGGGCUUCGGCCUGGCGGCGAGUGGCGAACGGGUGAGUAAUGCAUCGGAACGUGCCCAGUAGUGGGGGAUGGCCCGGCGAAAGCGGGAUUAAUACCGCAAACGACCGGGGGGGGAAAGCGGGGGACGGAAAGGCCUCGCCCAUUUGGGGCGGCCGUUGUCGGAUUAGCUAGUUGGUGGGGUAAAGGCUUACCAAGGCGACGAUCCGUAGCUGGUCUGAGAGGACGACCAGCCACACUGGGACUGAGACACGGCCCAGACUCCUACGGGAGGCAGCAGUGGGGAAUUUUGGACAAUGGGGGCAACCCUGAUCCAGCCAUGCCGCGUGCGGGAAGAAGGCCUUCGGGUUGUAAACCGCUUUUGUUCGGGAAGAAAUCCUCUGGGCUAAUACCCCGGGGGGAUGACGGUACCGGAAGAAUAAGCACCGGCUAACUACGUG
rnacentral:rRNA from 1 species